rnacentral:rRNA from 2 species
UUAAGAGCUUGCUCUUAUGAAGUUAGCGGCGGACGGGUGAGUAACACGUGGGUAACCUGCCCAUAAGACUGGGAUAACUCCGGGAAACCGGGGCUAAUACCGGAUAACAUUUUGAACCGCAUGGUUCGAAAUUGAAAGGCGGCUUCGGCUGUCACUUAUGGAUGGACCCGCGUCGCAUUAGCUAGUUGGUGAGGUAACGGCUCACCAAGGCAACGAUGCGUAGCCGACCUGAGAGGGUGAUCGGCCACACUGGGACUGAGACACGGCCCAGACUCCUACGGGAGGCAGCAGUAGGGAAUCUUCCGCAAUGGACGAAAGUCUGACGGAGCAACGCCGCGUGAGUGAUGAAGGCUUUCGGGUCGUAAAACUCUGUUGUUAGGGAAGAACAAGUGCUAGUUGAAUAAGCUGGCACCUUGACGGUACCUAACCAGAAAGCCACGGCUAACUACGUGCCAGCAGCCGCGGUAAUACGUAGGUGGCAAGCGUUAUCCGGAAUUAUUGGGCGUAAAGCGCGCGCAGGUGGUUUCUUAAGUCUGAUGUGAAAGCCCACGGCUCAACCGUGGAGGGUCAUUGGAAACUGGGAGACUUGAGUGCAGAAGAGGAAAGUGGAAUUCCAUGUG